GGGGAGAUGCCGGAGUGGUCAAACGGGCUUGGCUUAGGACCAAGUGGCUUUUUGCCUACGGGGGUUCGAAUCCUCCUCUCCCCA
rnacentral:tRNA from 1 species